AUUGAACGCUGGCGGCAGGCCUAACACAUGCAAGUCGAACGAGUGGCGGACGGGUGAGUAAGGACUGGGAAACUGCCUGAUGGAGGGGGAUAACUACUGGAAACGGUAGCUAAUAACGCAUACAAGCGGAUGUGCCCAGAUGGGAUUGGCUAGUGGGUGGGGUAACGGAUCACCUAGGCGACGAUCCCUAGCUGGGCUGAGAGGAUGACCAGUCACACUGGAACUGAGACACGGUCCAGACUCCUACGGGAGGCAGCAGUGGGGAAUAUUGCACAAUGGGCGAAAGCCUGAUGCAGCCAUGCCGCGUGUAUGAAGAAGGCCUUCGGGUUGUAAAGUACUUUCAGCGGGGAGGCGUUACCCUCAGAAGAAGCACCGGCUAACUCCGUGCCAGCAGCCGCGGUAAUUC
rnacentral:rRNA from 1 species